rnacentral:rRNA from 1 species
UACGUAGGUGGCAAGCGUUGUCCGGAUUUAUUGGGGUUUAAAGGGUGCGUAGGCGGUUCCAUAAGUCAGUGGUGAAAUACGGCAGCUCAACUGUCGAGGUGCCAUUGAUACUGCGGAACUUGAGUACUGAUGAGGUAGGCGGAAUUGACGGUGUAGCGGUGAAAUGCUUAGAUAUCGUCAAGAACACCGAUAGCGAAGGCAGCUUACCAAGCAGUAACUGACGCUGAGGCACGAAAGUGCGGGGAUCAAACAGG